rnacentral:rRNA from 1 species
UGCAAGUCGAGCGGCAGCGCGGGGCAACCUGGCGGCGAGCGGCGAACGGGUGAGUAAUGUAUCGGAACGUACCCAGUCGUGGGGGAUAACUAUCCGAAAGGAUAGCUAAUACCGCAUACGUCCUGAGGGAGAAAGCGGGGGACCGUAAGGCCUCGCGCGAUUGGAGCGGCCGAUAUCGGAUUAGCUAGUUGGUGAGGUAAAGGCUCACCAAGGCGACGAUCCGUAGCUGGUCUGAGAGGACGACCAGCCACACUGGAACUGAGACACGGUCCAGACUCCUACGGGAGGCAGCAGUGGGGAAUUUUGGACAAUGGGGGCAACCCUGAUCCAGCCAUUCCGCGUGAGUGAAGAAGGCCUUCGGGUUGUAAAGCUCUUUCAGCAGGAACGAAACGGUGGCCCCUAAUACGGGCUACUAAUGACGGUACCUGAAGAAGAAGCACCGGCUAACUACGUGCCAGCAGCCGCGGUAAUACGUAGGGUGCGAGCGUUAAUCGGAAUUACUGGGCGUAAAGCGUGCGCAGGCGGUUCUAUAAGACAGAUGUGAAAUCCCCGGGCUUAACCUGGGAACUGCGUUUGUGACUGUAGGACUCGAGUGUGGCAGAGGGGGGUGGAAUUCCACGUGUAGCAGUGAAAUGCGUAGAGAUGUGGAGGAACACCGAUGG